GACAGAGGGUGCAAACGUUGUUCGGAAUUACUGGGCGUAAAGCGUGUGUAGGCGGCUAAGCAAGUCGGAUGUGAAAGCCCCGGGCUCAACCUGGGAAUUGCAUUUGAGACUGCAUAGCUAGGGUGCGGAAGAGGGAAGCGGAAUUUCCGGUGUAGCGGUGAAAUGCGUAGAUAUCGGAAGGAACAUCAGUGGCGAAAGCGGCUUCCUGGUCCAGCACCGACGUUCAGGCACGAAAGCGUGGGGAGCAAACAGG
rnacentral:rRNA from 1 species